CCUCGGGGUGGUGCCAAAAAUCCCCCAAAAUCCCCCCAAAUCCAAAUCCCCGUUCUGCGGCCAUUCCUCCUCCGCGGCUGCACGGGCAGAGCCAAGCGCCGGGGCCCAGCCGGGGCUGCGAUGCCUCCCUGGCUGCCCGGCCGGCGCCAAGGAAAGGGCAGGCUUGUCCCAGCGCUCCCUGCCCGGCAGCUCGGCUCCAGCCGGGGGGAUCCCCCUCAGGCAUCGCGGGUACCUCCGGCAGCCAAGGAAGCGAGACAGCAGCCCCUUGGCAUAGAUGACAGCACCAGGAAAGUAUGACUUGGUGACCAGGACACUCCCCUAUGCCAUUGGUCCUCAUCUCCUGAGCCUGCCUGCUGAUUCUUCCUCAGGAGGCGAUUUGAGCCUUCUUUACUUGUGUGAGCAAGAAAAUGGGCAGGCACCACCAAGUGUGAUCACAAUGUGGGAGGUGAAGAAUAGCUGGUGUUUUACUGCAGGUUCCAGAGAAAAAUGCAAUUGUGACAAGCUCUGUUUUCAGCAGUGAUCAAGAAAUAAAAGCUCAAGAGCAGAACCCCCUUGGACAAUGCUGCUCUUUGCAGCAUUGUCCAAGCAAUACCAGCCAUUGUGGGGAGGGAGAAGAGGGAAAAGAAAAAUGCCAUGCCUUUAUAAAUUAAAAAGCUUUUUUUCUCAAGGCUA